AUUGAACGCUGGCGGCAGGCUUAACACAUGCAAGUCGAGCGGGGGAAGGUAGCUUGCUACCGGACCUAGCGGCGGACGGGUGAGUAAUGCUUAGGAAUCUGCCUAUUAGUGGGGGACAACAGCUCGAAAGGGAUGCUAAUACCGCAUACGUCCUACGGGAGAAAGCAGGGGAUCUUCGGACCUUGCGCUAAUAGAUGAGCCUAAGUCGGAUUAGCUAGUAGGUGGGGUAAGGGCCUACCAAGGCGACGAACUGUAGCGGGUCUGAGAGGAUGAUCCGCCACACUGGGACUGAGACACGGCCCAGACUCCUACGGGAGGCAGCAGUGGGGAAUAUUGGACAAUGGGGGGAACCCUGAUCCAGCCAUGCCGCGUGUGUGAAGAAGGCCUUAUGGUUGUAAAGCACUUUAAGCGAGGAGGAGGCUACUUUAGUUAAUACCUAGAGAUAGUGGACGUUACUCGCAGAAUAAGCACCGGCUAACUCUGUGCCAGCCGCCGCGGUAA
rnacentral:rRNA from 1 species